UACGGGGGGGGCAAGCGUUGUUCGGAAUUACUGGGCGUAAAGGGCCAGUAGGCGGCCAACUAAGUCCGACGUGAAAUCCCAAGGCUUAACCUUGGAACUGCGUCGGAUACUGGAUGGCUUGAAUUCGGGAGAGGGAUGCAGAAUUCCAGGUGUAGCGGUGAAAUGCGUAGAUAUCUGGAGGAAUACCAAUUGCGAAGGCAGCUCGCUGGGACGUUACUGACGCUGAGACGCGAAAGCGUGGGGAGCAAACAGG
rnacentral:rRNA from 1 species